rnacentral:rRNA from 1 species
UACGAAGGGGGCUAGCGUUGCUCGGAAUCACUGGGCGUAAAGCGCACGUAGGCGGAUUGUUAAGUCGGGGGUGAAAUCCUGGAGCUCAACUCCAGAACUGCCUUUGAUACUGAAGAUCUUGAGUUCGGGAGAGGUGAGUGGAACUGCGAGUGUAGAGGUGAAAUUCGUAGAUAUUCGCAAGAACACCAGUGGCGAAGGCGGCUCACUGGCCCGAUACUGACGCUGAGGCACGAAAGCGUGGGGAGCAAACAGG